rnacentral:rRNA from 2 species
UACGGAGGGGGUUAGCGUUGUUCGGAAUGACUGGGCGUAAAGCGCGCGUAGGCGGAUCAGCAAGUCAGGGGUGAAAUCCCGGGGCUCAACCCCGGCACUGCCUUUGAGACUGUUGGUCUGGAGUUCGAGAGAGGUGGGUGGAAUUCCGAGUGUAGAGGUGAAAUUCGUAGAUAUUCGGAGGAACACCAGUGGCGAAGGCGGCCCACUGGCUCGACACUGACGCUGAGGCGCGAAAGCGCGGGGAGCAAACAGG